rnacentral:rRNA from 1 species
GCCUCAGUAACGGCGAGUGAAGCGGCAAGAGCUCAAAUUUGAAAGCUGGCCCCUUCGGGGUCCGCGUUGUAAUUUGCAGAGGAUGCUUCGGGUGCAGCCCCCGUCUAAGUGCCCUGGAACGGGCCGUCAUAGAGGGUGAGAAUCCCGUCUGGGACGGGGUGUCUGCGUCCGUGUGAAGCUCCUUCGACGAGUCGAGUUGUUUGGGAAUGCAGCUCUAAAUGGGUGGUAAAUUUCAUCUAAAGCUAAAUACUGGCCGGAGACCGAUAGCGCACAAGUAGAGUGAUCGAAAGAUGAAAAGCACUUUGAAAAGAGAGUUAAACAGCACGUGAAAUUGUUGAAAGGGAAGCGUUUGCGACCAGACUCGCCCGCGGGGUUCAGCCGGCAUUCGUGCCGGUGUACUUCCCCGUGGGCGGGCCAGCGUCGGUUUGGGCGGCCGGUCAAAGGCCCUCGGAAUGUAUCACCUCUCGGGGUGUCUUAUAGCCGAGGGUGCAAUGCGGCCUGCCUGGACCGAGGAACGCGCUUCGGCUCGGACGCUGGCGUAAUGGUCGUAAAUGACCCGUCUUGAAACACGGACCAAGGAGUCUAACAUCUACGCGAGUGUUCGGGUGUCAAACCCGUACGCGCAGUGAAAGCGAACGGAGGUGGGAGCCCCCUCGCGGGGCGCACCAUCGACCGAUCCUGAUGUCUUCGGAUGGAUUUGAGUACGAGCGUAGCUGUGGGGACCCGAAAGAUGGUGAACUAUGCCUGAAUAGGGCGAAGCCAGAGGAAACUCUGGUGGAGGCUCGCAGCGGUUCUGACGUGCAAAUCGAUCGUCAAAUUUG